GGUCCUAUAGUGUAGUUGGUUAUCACCCAAGGUUUUGACUUCAAAACCUCCUUGUAACUCCGGUUCGAAUCCGGAUAGGACCU
rnacentral:tRNA from 2 species